rnacentral:ncRNA from 2 species
UUAAUAGAUGAGCAAGCGAUUUUUCUUAGCCGAGAAAUCAUAACAGGGAAGCCGGUUUAAAUCCGGCGCGGUCCCGCCACUGUAAAGGGGAGUUUGUGCCACAUCCACUGAGGAAACUUGGGAAGGAGGCACUAACGAGGAACCUGAGCCAGGAGACCUGAUUGCUCAUAUGCUUUACU